UGGGGAAUUUUGCACAAUGGGGGAAACCCUGAUGCAGCGACGCCGCGUGAUUUAGAAGGCCUUCGGGUUGUAAAAAUCUUUUCUAUGGGAAGAAAAUGACAGUACCAUAGGAAUAAGGACCGGCUAAUUACGUGCCAGCAGCCGCGGUAAUACAUAAGGUCCGAGCGUUGUCCGGAAUCAUUGGGCGUAAAGGGUACGUAGGCGGGUAAGCAAGUUAGAAGUGAAAUCCUAUAGCUCAACUAUAGUAAGCUUUUAAAACUGCUCAUCUUGAGGUAUGGAAGGGAAAGUGGAAUUCCUAGUGUAGCGGUGAAAUGCGCAGAUAUUAGGAGGAAUACCGGUGGCGAAGGCGACUUUCUGGCCAUAACCUGACGCUGAGGUACGAAAGCGUGGGUAGCAAACAGG
rnacentral:rRNA from 1 species